UUGGCUGAUCCCUUUCGCUGUAUGGCGUGCUCGUUUGGGUUGGGCGUCGGCUAAGAGUGCUCGGAGCGUGGAUUAACUCCAGUCUCCUAUCAGGUGUGUAUUUCUCACUACUCUAGCUGUAGGAUGGCUACUUCGGGCUGCAAUGGGCCGAAAGGGGCUAUGUGGGCCCAAUGGGCCUACGGGCCCAAUUGGAUAAGUUGUUUGAUUGUGUAGUAAAUAUUGGACUAGGCUAGGUGAAUCUCAUAUUCGUGGCUAGAUUUGGGCUAAAAGGGCCACACGAGCGUGUGGGCCCAUUUGGGCCGAUAAUAGGCUUUAGGGCCAUUUGUAUUGUUAUCCCUGUUUAGAAUACUUUAGUUUACCAAUUAUUGAAAUGCCCUCGACUUGUAAAAUUACUAAAGUAACCUCGAUUUACAGAAUUAUCGUUUUACCCUCGAUUUAUAGAAUUACCAUUUUACCCUCGAUUUACAAAAUUAUCGUUUUACCCUCGAUUGUGAAAUUACUAAAAUACCCCCUGUAGGAUAGAAUUACCAAAAUACCCUUAGUUUGUAAAAUUACCAAAAUACCCCUAGUUUGUAAAAUUACCAAAAUACCACUGGUUUGUGAAAUUACCGAAAUACCCUCAAUUUGUAAAAUUACCAAAAUACCCCUGAUUUACAAAAUUACAGAAAUACCCUUGACUUUCUAAAAAUUAUAGAAAUACCUUUGGUUUACAAAAUUACUGAAAUACCCUUGGUUUGUAGAUUUACCAAAACACCCUUGUAGGAUGAAAUGACUAAAAUACCUCUAAUAGGUAAAAAGACCGUAAAGCCCCUGUAUGGUAAAAUGACGAAUAUGCCCUUAUGUUCCGUAUGACUGAUGUGCUUAGGUUUUACAUUUAUUGAUAUUGGAUUAGUUAAGUUUGAGUGAUAGGUGGUGGUUAUCGUAGGUGAUUGAUUUUGGAAACAUUUCAACUUCAACCCAUAACAGGUGUGUAAUAACCCUCGCAGUAGCUUAGAUUAAUAUUCGCCGAAAAGUCAAAAUGCUAAAAUUUUGGCAUUUCGGGAACUUGUGAUUUUUCCUUUGCUUAAAGAUACGAUAGAUACGAUAUGAUCGAUGUUUGGAUCGAUGGAGCAGGUAAGAGCGCAAUUUUGUGCAUGAUGGUAAGUUGGGCCUCAAUUGGCUGGAAUCGAGCCCAAUGGGCUUUCGGGCCCAUUUGGGUAAAACUGAUAGAAAAUAGAAUCUAAAAAAGUUGCAUGUUAACACGGUUAGUACUGUUGUAAAAUUUGGAAUAAGCAGGCUUAGUGGGCUAAAUCAGCAUUCGUAGGGCCCAUUAGGGGUUUUGGGCCCAAAAGCCCGAAUUUGAUAAAGUGGGUCAAAGAUCAUUGUUUAAACACUCAAAAAUAUUGAUAAUUGUUAAUGAAUAUGGAAAACCCUGAUAUUUGGUAAAAGUACAAAAUUACCCUUAUAAUAUGAAAAAUGACUGUUUUGCCCUUGUGGGCAAGUGACUGACUUGGACUGUGUGGUUGAUGGAUUUGAUUGUGAAUAUAUAUGUUGGUGAUAUGAAUGCCUUGACUGUGAUUGUUUGAUUCAAAUAUGGGCAUGACAUUCUGCAUACAUGACAUGUUGCAUGGGUUGGGUUUUAUAAAUGGAGGAAGUGCUAAAAGGGCUAUGCCCCAGUUUACCGAAAAGGGCUUUGCCCCAGUUAUUAAAAGAGGCUAAGCCUCCAGUUAUAUGAUAAAGCAGCUAUGCUGCCAGUGGAGAGUUUGGUUGGGUGGGUUGAGUUAUUCCCGACAUGGUGUGUUGGUUGGUACGGGUGGAGAGUAGCGGAUGGUGGGUUGAGUAGUCUCCCCAAAUGGGCUUGCAUACAUUCAUUGAUAUUACAUGUGACAUUAAAAUGGGCCUAUGGGCCAUACCGCUUACAGUAAAGGCUUCAGCCUAGUGAUAUGAUUUAUGAAAAGGCUUCGGCCCAGUAUAUGUCGAGACUGAAUUAGGGCUUAGGCCCAUAUUGCUACUGUUUAAGGGCUAAGGCCCAGACUUUACUGUUACUGAAUAGGGCUUUGGCCCAGAUUGUACUGACACUGUGUUAUUCACUGUUUGUUUGUUGUUGGGGAUUACACACUGAGUUUUCGUAAACUCACCCCGUUUCUAACUGUGCAGGUAAUCCCUAAGCUUAGAUGGUUUGGAGCAGCGAGGGGCUCGAAAAUGGCCACACUACUGUUUCUGUUUCUUUUAAUUGCAAUAAGUAGCCGAUUUUUUCUUUAUAAGUUUUAUCUUAUUAAUAUUAUUAUUUGGUUUUGGGUUGUAAUAAGGUCAUUUUAAUUAUUUUUCU
rnacentral:lncRNA from 1 species